AAGGAAAGCAGCCAUUGCCUGGAGUUACCAAUACCAAUAUAACAGCUGAAGCUGAAGAUGAAGCUUCGCCCAAAGACAACAAGGAGCAAGAUGACCUGCAUCAGAAGGCAG